rnacentral:rRNA from 1 species
UACGUAGGGGGCAAGCGUUGUCCGGAUUUCUUGGGCGUAAAGAGCGUGUAGGCGGCUUUACAGGUCCGUUGUGAAAACUCGAGGCUCAACCUCGAGACGCCGGUGGAAACCGUAAAGCUAGAGUCCGGAAGAGGAGAGUGGAAUUCCUGGUGUAGCGGUGAAAUGCGCAGAUAUCAGGAGGAACACCAAUGGCGAAGGCAGCUCGCUGGGACGUGACUGACGCUGAGACGCGAAAGCGUGGGGAGCAAACAGG